UGGGGAAUAUUGGACAAUGGGCGAAAGCCUGAUCCAGCCAUGCCGCGUGUGUGAAGAAGGUCUUCGGAUUGUAAAGCACUUUAAGUUGGGAGGAAGGGUUGUAGAUUAAUACUCUGCAAUUUUGACGUUACCGACAGAAUAAGCACCGGCUAACUCUGUGCCAGCAGCCGCGGUAAUACAGAGGGUGCAAGCGUUAAUCGGAAUUACUGGGCGUAAAGCGCGCGUAGGUGGUUUGUUAAGUUGGAUGUGAAAUCCCCGGGCUUAACCUGGGAAUUGCGCUUGUAACUGGCAGGCUAGAGUGUGGCAGAGGGGGGUGGAAUUCCACGUGUAGCAGUGAAAUGCGUAGAUAUGUGGAGGAACACCAGUGGCGAAGGCGACCACCUGGACUGAUACUGACACUGAGGUGCGAAAGCGUGGGGAGCAAACAGGAUUAGAUACCCAAGUAGUCCCUGAGCGGGCUGGCAAGGCGCAU
rnacentral:rRNA from 1 species